rnacentral:rRNA from 1 species
UGGGAAUUUUGGACAAUGGGCGCAAGCCUGAUCCAGCAAUGCCGCGUGCAGGAUGAAGGCCUUCGGGUUGUAAACUGCUUUUGUCAGGGAAGAAACGAGUUUCUCUAAUACAGAGACUUAAUGACGGUACCUGAAGAAUAAGCACCGGCUAACUACGUGCCAGCAGCCGCGGUAAUACGUAGGGUGCAAGCGUUAAUCGGAAUUACUGGGCGUAAAGCGUGCGCAGGCGGUUAUGCAAGACAGAGGUGAAAUCCCCGGGCUCAACCUGGGAACUGCCUUUGUGACUGCAUAGCUAGAGUACGGUAGAGGGGGAUGGAAUUCCGCGUGUAGCAGUGAAAUGCGUAGAUAUGCGGAGGAACACCGAUGGCGAAGGCAAUCCCCUGACCUGUACUGACGCUCAUGCACGAAAGCGUGGGGAGCAAACA